GGGUCAGUAGGUUGGUCGUGCCACCGGUACGUACUGGUCUCAAUGAUUCCUCCUUCCUGAAGAACCGUAAUGCCAUUAAUUUGGUGUUGCGGGGAGACAGGACUGUUACUUUGAAAAAAUUAGAGUGUUUAGAGCAAGCUAACGCUUGAAUACAUUAGCAUGGAAUAAUGAAAUAGGACGAUCGAUCCUAUUUUGUUGGUUUCUAGGAUUGACGUA
rnacentral:rRNA from 1 species